rnacentral:rRNA from 1 species
UACAGGGGGGGCAAGCGUUGUCCGGAAUUACUGGGCGUACAGCGCGCGCAGGCGGUCCACUACGUGCCGUGUGACAGACGUCGGCUUAACCGACGUAGGCCAGGGUACACGGGUGAACUUGAGGCAGAGAGAGGGAUGUGGAAUACCCGGUGGAGCGGUGAAAUUCGUAGAUAUUCGGAGGAACACCAGUGGCGAAGGCGACUGCCUGGACGAACAUUGACGCUGAGGUGCGAAAGCGUGGGGAGCAAACAGG